UUAAAUUGAAGAGUUUGAUCAUGGCUCAGAUUGAACGCUGGCGGCAGGCCUAACACAUGCAAGUCGAACGGUAGCACAGAGAGCUUGCUCUCGGG
rnacentral:rRNA from 3 species